GACGAACGCUGGCGGCGUGCUUAACACAUGCAAGUCGAGCGGAAAGGCCCUUCGGGGUACUCGAGCGGCGAACGGGUGAGUAACACGUGAGCAACCUGCCCUGGACUUUGGGAUAACCCUCGGAAACGGGGGCUAAUACCGAAUACGACCUGUCACUGCAUGGUGGUGGGUGGAAAGUUUUUCGGUCUGGGAUGGGCUCGCGGCCUAUCAGCUUGUUGGUGGGGUGAUGGCCUACCAAGGCGACGACGGGUAGCCGGCCUGAGAGGGCGACCGGCCACACUGGGACUGAGACACGGCCCAGACUCCUACGGGAGGCAGCAGUGGGGAAUAUUGCACAAUGGGCGGAAGCCUGAUGCAGCGACGCCGCGUGAGGGAUGACGGCCUC
rnacentral:rRNA from 1 species